GCCCCUAUGGCCCAAUUGGCAGAGGCAGCAGACUUAAAAUCUGCGUGUUGUGGGUUCGAGUCCCACUGGGGGCACCA
rnacentral:tRNA from 1 species